rnacentral:rRNA from 1 species
UACGGGGGGAGCAAGCGUUGUUCGGAUUUACUGGGCGUAAAGGGCGCGUAGGCGGCCACCGCAAGUCGACUGUGAAAUCUCCGGGCUUAACCCGGAAAGGUCAGCCGAUACUGCGGGGCUAGAGUGCAGGAAGGGGCAACUGGAAUUCUCGGUGUAGCGGUGAAAUGCGUAGAUAUCGAGAGGAACACCUGCGGCGAAGGCGGGUUGCUGGGCUGACACUGACGCUGAAGUGCGAAAGCUAGGGGAGCGAACGGG